UAGUAACGGCGAGUGAAGAGGAAAGAGCUCAAAGUUGGAACCUGUUUGGCUUAGCUAAACCGGAUUGUAAACUGUAGAAGUGUUUUCCAGACACGCCUGGUAAAAAAGUCCUUUGGAACAGGGCAUCAUAGAGGGUGAGAAUCCCGUCAUUGGCCAGAGCUGUUGUCUUUUGUGAUACAUUUUCAAAGAGUCAGGUUGUUUGGGAAUGCAGCCUAAAUUGGGUGGUAAAUCUCACCUAAAGCUAAAUAUUUGCGAGAGACCGAUAGCGAACAAGUACCGUGAGGGAAAGAUGAAAAGAACUUUGAAAAGAGAGUUAAACAGUAUGUGAAAUUGUUAAAAGGGAACCGUUUGGAGCCAGACUGGCUUGAUCGUAAUCACUCUAGGCUUUGGCCUGGAUGCACUUGCGGUCUAUGCCGGCCAACGACAGUUUUGUUUGAGGGAAAAAAUUACAUUGAAUGUGGCCCUUCGGGGUGUUAUAGCUUUGUAAAAAAUACCUUGGACGGGACUGAGGAACGCAGCGAAUGCCUUUAGGCGAGAUUGCUGGGUGCUUGCGCUGAUACAUGCUAGAAUUUCUGCUUCGGGUGGUGCUAGUGUGUAAAGGAGUAACCCGCUUAGUAUAUUUUUUAUUCGCUUAGGUUGUUGGCUUAAUGACUCUAAAUGACCCGUCUUGAAACACGGACCAAGGAGUCCACCAUUAGUGCAAGUAUUUGGGUGACAAACCCAUAUGCGCAAGGAAACUGAUUGAUACGAAGGCGCAAGCUGGCAGUAUCACCCGGCGUUGACGUUUUAUACUGAACUGACCGAGGUAAAGCACUAAUGAUGGGACCCGAAAGAUGGUGAACUAUGCCUGAAUAGGGUGAAGCCGGAGGAAACUCCGGUGGAGGCUCGUAGCGAUUCUGACGUGCAAAUCGAUCGUCAAAUUUGGGUAUAGGGCGAAAGACUAAUCG
rnacentral:rRNA from 1 species